rnacentral:rRNA from 1 species
UACGUAGGGGGCUAGCGUUGUCCGGAAUCAUUGGGCGUAAAGAGCGUGUAGGCGGUCCGGUAAGUCCGCUGUGAAAGUCGGGGGCUCAACCCUCGAAUGCCGGUGGAUACUGUCGGGCUAGAGUGCGGAAGAGGCGAGUGGAAUUCCUGGUGUAGCAGUGAAAUGCGCAGAUAUCAGGAGGAACACCUAUUGCGAAGGCAGCUCACUGGGACGUAACUGACGCUGAGACGCGAAAGCGUGGGGAGCAAACAGG